GUGUCUGAUGACAUCUUGAAUGCAAGCUUAAGAUCUAAUUUUUCCAAUUCUCAUCAUUUAUUUUUCCUGUUACCUGUGAUUUGUAUGGCAUUGGUUCUAUCCUUCAGUAUGAAUUUCAUGAUGACUCCUAGGGCCAAAUGUUUUCUAGGCAAAGAGAAAUGCAUAACUCUUGUGAGUGUGAUGAAGGCAAAGCAGAGUAUUGAAAAAAGAAAGUUAUCAGAUCAUCAUAGAAGUCAUAUGUGAAAGAGUAGAGUCUGAAGAAGGACAUUUAAAAGAAAAAUAGAGAGUGAUAUCACAUGGAUGGCUUGAAAUUCUGGUUGGAGUGGUGGGAGUAUUUACAACCCAGAGUCAGUCAACAUCAAAAUCAGGUGAAAACAUCAAUAAACAUUUAUGUUGGAACUACAGUUAAUCAUCAAAUUCAACCAUUGUUUGGCUAUGGACACGAGAGUUCAGCAAAAAUGGAAAAGCACGCUGUGAUAAUCAAUUACGUACACUGAAGUCACAAUAAAGACUCUCGUCAGGCACAAAGACCACAUACUGUUUGACUCCACUCAUGUGUAAUGUCCAGAACUAGGAAAUCCAUAGAAAUAUGAAGUCGCAGUGUCUGUAUAAAACUGCUCAGUAGUGUUCUCAGUAUUCCCAGGCAUGACGACCAUCACCAUUGUCUAAUUUUAGAACCUUUUCAGUGCUCCAGGAAGAAACCUCAUACAGAUAUGUGAGCAGCUAUUCCCCAUCUCUACUCCCUACUGCCUCCACUCCAGGCUCAGGCAAAUGGUGAUGUUUUUAG